rnacentral:rRNA from 1 species
CAGCCGCCGCGGGAAUACGUAGGUAGCAAGCGUUGUCCGGAAUUAUUGGGCGUAAAGGGCUCGCAGGCGGUUUCUUAAGUCUGAUGUGAAAGCCCCCGGCUCAACCGGGGAGGGUCAUUGGAAACUGGGAAACUUGAGUGCAGAAGAGGAGAGUGGAAUUCCACGUGUAGCGGUGAAAUGCGUAGAGAUGUGGAGGAACACCAGUGGCGAAGGCGACUCUCUGGUCUGUAACUGACGCUGAGGAGCGAAAGCGUGGGGAGCGAACAGGAUUAGAGACCCGCGUAGUCCCUGUCUCUUAUAC